AUUGAACGCUGGCGGAAUGCUUUACACAUGCAAGUCGAGCGGCAGCGCGGGGGCAACCCUGGCGGCGAGCGGCGAACGGGUGAGUAACAUAUCGGAACGUACCCUGUCGUGGGGGAUAACUAUCCGAAAGGAUAGCUAAUACCGCAUACGACCUGAGGGUGAAAGCGGGGGACCGCAAGGCCUCGCGCGAUAGGAGCGGCCGAUAUCGGAUUAGCUAGUUGGUGAGGUAAAGGCUCACCAAGGCGACGAUCCGUAGCGGGUCUGAGAGGACGACCCGCCACACUGGAACUGAGACACGGUCCAGACUCCUACGGGAGGCAGCAGUGGGGAAUUUUGGACAAUGGGCGCAAGCCUGAUCCAGCCAUGCCGCGUGAGUGAAGAAGGCCU
rnacentral:rRNA from 1 species